rnacentral:tRNA from 1 species
GGGUCGUUAGCUCAGCGGGUAGAGCAGCGGACUUUUAAUCCGUUGGUCACUGGUUCGAAUCCAGUACGGCCCA